rnacentral:misc_RNA from 1 species
AAAGUCGUAACAAGGUUUCCGUAGGUGAACCUGCGGAAGGAUCAUUAUUGAUUCAAGAGUUAUGUGCUGGCUCUCUUGUGGAGCAGAUUGUGCACUCUCUCAAAUCUAACUCUAUUCACCUGUGCAUACUUGGUAGGCAAGUAUAGAAAUUGGGAACGCAGUUGCCAUGUAUAAUUGCCUAUCGUCUUUACAUACACAUUUUUGAAUGCCAUGAAUUGUAAUUGAAACAAAUAUAACAACUUUCAACAAUGGAUCUCUUGGUUCUC